AUUCCCCCAGUAGCGGCGAGCGAACGGGGAGCAGCCCAGAGCCUGAAUCAGUGUGUGUGUUAGUGGAAGCGUCUGGAAAGGCGCGCGAUACAGGGUGACAGCCCCGUACACAAAAAUGCACAUACUGUGAGCUCGAUGAGUAGGGCGGGACACGUGGUAUCCUGUCUGAAUAUGGGGGGACCAUCCUCCAAGGCUAAAUACUCCUGACUGACCGAUAGUGAACCAGUACCGUGAGGGAAAGGCGAAAAGAACCCCGGCGAGGGGAGUGAAAAAGAACCUGAAACCGUGUACGUACAAGCAGUGGGAGCCUCUUUAUGGGGUGACUGCGUACCUUUUGUAUAAUGGGUCAGCGACUUAUAUUCUGUAGCAAGGUUAACCGAAUAGGGGAGCCGAAGGGAAACCGAGUCUUAACUGGGCGUUAAGUUGCAGGGUAUAGACCCGAAACCCGGUGAUCUAGCCAUGGGCAGGUUGAAGGUUGGGUAACACUAACUGGAGGACCGAACCGACUAAUGUUGAAAAAUUAGCGGAUGACUUGUGGCUGGGGGUGAAAGGCCAAUCAAACCGGGAGAUAGCUGGUUCUCCCCGAAAGCUAUUUAGGUAGCGCCUCGUGAAUUCAUCUCCGGGGGUAGAGCACUGUUUCGGCAAGGGGGUCAUCCCGACUUACCAACCCGAUGCAAACUGCGAAUACCGGAGAAUGUUAUCACGGGAGACACACGGCGGGUGCUAACGUCCGUCGUGAAGAGGGAAACAACCCAGACCGCCAGCUAAGGUCCCAAAGUCAUGGUUAAGUGGGAAACGAUGUGGGAAGGCCCAGACAGCCAGGAUGUUGGCUUAGAAGCAGCCAUCAUUUAAAGAAAGCGUAAUAGCUCACUGGUCGAGUCGGCCUGCGCGGAAGAUGUAACGGGGCUAAACCAUGCACCGAAGCUGCGGCAGCGACACUAUGUGUUGUUGGGUAGGGGAGCGUUCUGUAAGCCUGUGAAGGUGUGCUGUGAGGUAUGCUGGAGGUAUCAGAAGUGCGAAUGCUGACAUAAGUAACGAUAAAGCGGGUGAAAAGCCCGCUCGCCGGAAGACCAAGGGUUCCUGUCCAACGUUAAUCGGGGCAGGGUGAGUCGACCCCUAAGGCGAGGCCGAAAGGCGUAGUCGAUGGGAAACAGGUUAAUAUUCCUGUACUUGGUGUUACUGCGAAGGGGGGACGGAGAAGGCUAUGUUGGCCGGGCGACGGUUGUCCCGGUUUAAGCGUGUAGGCUGGUUUUCCAGGCAAAUCCGGAAAAUCAAGGCUGAGGCGUGAUGACGAGGCACUACGGUGCUGAAGCAACAAAUGCCCUGCUUCCAGGAAAAGCCUCUAAGCAUCAGGUAACAUCAAAUCGUACCCCAAACCGACACAGGUGGUCAGGUAGAGAAUACCAAGGCGCUUGAGAGAACUCGGGUGAAGGAACUAGGCAAAAUGGUGCCGUAACUUCGGGAGAAGGCACGCUGAUAUGUAGGUGAAGUCCCUUGCGGAUGGAGCUGAAAUCAGUCGAAGAUACCAGCUGGCUGCAACUGUUUAUUAAAAACACAGCACUGUGCAAACACGAAAGUGGACGUAUACGGUGUGACGCCUGCCCGGUGCCGGAAGGUUAAUUGAUGGGGUUAGCGGUAACGCGAAGCUCUUGAUCGAAGCCCCGGUAAACGGCGGCCGUAACUAUAACGGUCCUAAGGUAGCGAAAUUCCUUGUCGGGUAAGUUCCGACCUGCACGAAUGGCGUAAUGAUGGCCAGGCUGUCUCCACCCGAGACUCAGUGAAAUUGAACUCGCUGUGAAGAUGCAGUGUACCCGCGGCAAGACGGAAAGACCCCGUGAACCUUUACUAUAGCUUGACACUGAACAUUGAGCCUUGAUGUGUAGGAUAGGUGGGAGGCUUUGAAGUGUGGACGCCAGUCUGCAUGGAGCCGACCUUGAAAUACCACCCUUUAAUGUUUGAUGUUCUAACGUUGGCCCCUGAUCGGGGUUGCGGACAGUGUCUGGUGGGUAGUUUGACUGGGGCGGUCUCCUCCUAAAGAGUAACGGAGGAGCACGAAGGUUGGCUAAUCCUGGUCGGACAUCAGGAGGUUAGUGCAAUGGCAUAAGCCAGCUUGACUGCGAGCGUGACGGCGCGAGCAGGUGCGAAAGCAGGUCAUAGUGAUCCGGUGGUUCUGAAUGGAAGGGCCAUCGCUCAACGGAUAAAAGGUACUCCGGGGAUAACAGGCUGAUACCGCCCAAGAGUUCAUAUCGACGGCGGUGUUUGGCACCUCGAUGUCGGCUCAUCACAUCCUGGGGCUGAAGUAGGUCCCAAGGGUAUGGCUGUUCGCCAUUUAAAGUGGUACGCGAGCUGGGUUUAGAACGUCGUGAGACAGUUCGGUCCCUAUCUGCCGUGGGCGCUGGAGAACUGAGGGGGGCUGCUCCUAGUACGAGAGGACCGGAGUGGACGCAUCACUGGUGUUCGGGUUGUCAUGCCAAUGGCACUGCCCGGUAGCUAAAUGCGGAAGAGAUAAGUGCUGAAAGCAUCUAAGCACGAAACUUGCCCCGAGAUGAGUUCUCCCUGACCCUUUAAGGGUCCUGAAGGAACGUUGAAGACGACGACGUUGAUAGGCCGGGUGUGUAAGCGCAGCGAUGCGUUGA
rnacentral:rRNA from 1 species